AUGUGCUUUCCCCUCCUGGAUGUUGUAGUCAGACAGGGUGCGCCCAUCUUCCAGCUGUUUCCCGGCAAAGAUCAACCUCUGCUGGUCCGGGGGGAUGCCCUCCUUGUCCUGGAUCUUCGCCUUGACAUUCUCGAUGGUGUCGCUGGGCUCCACCUCCAGGGUGAUGGUCUUACCGGUCAAAGGUCUUCACGAAGAUCUGCAUUGUCUGUCACAAAAAAAAACAAAGAACCCAGGAGUGUAGCAGACAACUCACAGGAUCCUACCGCUAAGUUACUGAUCGUAUUGCGCGUUUGCCCAGGACUCAAAGAAGCCUCACCUAAGAAAGCUAACCGGAAAAAAUAGGACAGGCUCCCUAAGCUCAAAUAAGCUCCAAAGCCAACUUUCAGACCCCUACAAGGAGAGAAAAACACGGAUACCGGUCAAGUGAAGACGCGGGCCUCACUUUUCUUCCCCUCCCACCUCACUGAUGUCUGCCCCGGGCCUAACCCUUGUGUCCCGCGACUGACCAAAGUCAGCUUCAUACAUAGGACCAGGAAGCCCCACCCCGGAUUGUGAGCCGACAAAGGGGUGACAUCACGUGACCGACGGGGCGAGGGAGUCGUCCCGUCCCCUAGAAUGGGCGCAGGACGCUGAGUGGCACCCGCACUUAGUGCCCACUCGUUGCGACGAGACGCGGAGCUUGGCGCCAGCGCGGCCGCGGAACACACGUCGGCUUCCCCCCACUCACACUGCGCGAUAAGCCCCGUAAAAGCCUCACGGGCCCGUCGCGCUGUCAUCCACUCACAACCAUCCCCCCUCCCAGGCUUCUCUCUCCAACCUCACAGCCCGCCUCGCAGCCCGGCUUCUCCCAGCCAGGGAUCCGAAGCGGCCGCCAUUUUGCUGCGUCCCCCCUCCUCAGAGAACUCCCGCUCCCGCGCCCCGGGCGACUAAAACCCUCCAGCGCUGUCCCGCUGGUACAGCCUCCCGCCUCCCCUGCAGCCACUCGACCACAAGACCCCCGGGCCAGCAUAGCGGCCCACUCCUCACCAAGAGGCUGUGACAGCAGCACACGCAAAGGAAGGAAAACUGAACUCCCGGCCUCCUCGGAACUGCCUGCGCCACACCCGGCGCCUCCUUAUAUAGCAUUCGGUAGCCCCGCUCCAAUGGAUCCCUCCGCAGAAACGCCGAGAAGGGACUACUUUUCUCACACUUCAGGCCCUUUGGAGAGAUAACUAGUGCCCCCCCAAAACAUCUAAGAGACCCCCUGAAAUGUUUACCUAUCAAGGAUGGGCUGUAGGGCUGAAUCUAGUGAGGAAGGGGCCGCUGUCCUCGUCUCCCGCGCGGAGGGAUCAACGCGUUCGUUGAGUGCUACGUCCGCGGACUUGGCCGGCGCUCGACCUCGGGGGCGGGGGCGGGGGCGGGGGCUUCGGAGGCCGACUCUGCCCGAGACCCACCCGGCCGCGGCGGCGGGGUUAGGGGCUCGCUGCGCAGUGGCAAGCAAGUGUGCAAAU
rnacentral:lncRNA from 1 species